AGAGUUUGAUCCUGGCUCAGGACGAACGCUGGUGGCGCGCCUAACACAUGCAAGUCGAACGAGAGAUGAGGAGCUUGCUCUUCAAAUCGAGUGGCGAACGGGUGAGUAACGCGUGAGGAACCUGCCUCAAAGAGGGGGACAACAGUUGGAAACGACUGCUAAUACCGCAUAAGCCCACGGCUCGGCAUCGAGCAGAGGGAAAAGGAGCAAUCCGCUUUGAGAUGGCCUCGCGUCCGAUUAGCUAGUUGGUGAGGUAACGGCCCACCAAGGCGACGAUCGGUAGCCGGACUGAGAGGUUGAACGGCCACAUUGGGACUGAGACACGGCCCAGACUCCUACGGGAGGCAGCAGUGGGGAAUAUUGCACAAUGGGGGAAACCCUGAUGCAGCGACGCCGCGUGGAGGAAGAAGGUCUUCGGAUUGUAAACUCCUGUUGUUGAGGAAGAUAAUGACGGUACUCAACAAGGAAGUGACGGCUAACUACGUGCCAGCAGCCGCGGUAAAACGUAGGUCACAAGCGUUGUCCGGAAUUACUGGGUGUAAAGGGAGCGCAGGCGGGAGAACAAGUUGGAAGUGAAAUCCAUGGGCUCAACCCAUGAACUGCUUUCAAAACUGUUUUUCUUGAGUAGUGCAGAGGUAGGCGGAAUUCCCGGUGUAGCGGUGGAAUGCGUAGAUAUCGGGAGGAACACCAGUGGCGAAGGCGGCCUACUGGGCACCAACUGACGCUGAGGCUCGAAAGUGUGGGUAGCAAACAGGAUUAGAUACCCUGGUAGUCCACACCGUAAACGAUGAUUACUAGGUGUUGGAGGAUUGACCCCUUCAGUGCCGCAGUUAACACAAUAAGUAAUCCACCUGGGGAGUACGACCGCAAG
rnacentral:rRNA from 1 species